UUUGUGUAGGAAAGCUGUUACUUUUUGGCCUGCUGUGCUCUCAGUCGGCGUUAUGUCGGCGUCAGUUCCUGAAUCAAGCUCUCAAAACGAUCCCAUUCUGUCGCCCGAGGAAGCAACAAGUUGCCAUCACAGACCCACAAGUCACAACCAGGUUGGUGGCAAGCGUGGUAGAGCGGCGGCCAAGGCUGAGAACAGUUAGUAGGGCUCCAAAUGUCGUCCUUCUUUACGUCUUCAUGGAGACUUUUGACUUCUUGUUGCUGCAUCUGCUGAUCGCUUUCACGGGAGGUCUUCUCUGCUCGCCUGCCAAGGCCGACACAGGUCAACACUGGCUUGCUGGCACUUAACGCAUCCGUCACAUGACCUGGCAAUGAGAACAUUUGAACAACCACCAUCAUAUUGAGAAUAGUACUGUGCAAAGAUUUGUCUCUGUGAGUAUUUAAAAUGUGUUCUUUUAAAAUCCUUAGAUCAUC